rnacentral:rRNA from 1 species
CCUACGGGCGGCUGCAGUGGGGAAUAUUGGACAAUGGGGGGAACCCUGAUCCAGCCAUGCCGCGUGUGUGAAGAAGGCCCUCGGGUUGUAAAGCACUUUCAGUGAGGAAGAACGCCUGGUAGUUAAUACCCAUCAGGAAAGACAUCACUCACAGAAGAAGCACCGGCUAACUCCGUGCCAGCAGCCGCGGUAAUACGGAGGGUGCGAGCGUUAAUCGGAAUUACUGGGCGUAAAGCGCGCGUAGGUGGCUUGAUAAGCCGGUUGUGAAAGCCCCGGGCUCAACCUGGGAACGGCAUCCGGAACUGUCAAGCUAGAGUGCAGGAGAGGAAGGUAGAAUUCCCGGUGUAGCGGUGAAAUGCGUAGAGAUCGGGAGGAAUACCAGUGGCGAAGGCGGCCUUCUGGACUGACACUGACACUGAGGUGCGAAAGCGUGGGUAGCAAACAGGAUUAGAUACCCGAGUAGUC